UGGGGAAUAUUGCACAAUGGGCGCAAGCCUGAUGCAGCCAUGCCGCGUGUAUGAAGAAGGCCUUCGGGUUGUAAAGUACUUUCAGCGAUGAGGAAGGCAUUAAGGUUAAUAACCUUAGUGAUUGACGUUACUCGCAGAAGAAGCACCGGCUAACUCCGUGCCAGCAGCCGCGGUAAUACGGAGGGUGCAAGCGUCAAUCGGAAUUACUGGGCGUAAAGCGCACCCAGGCGGUCUGCUAAGUCAGAUGUGAAAUCCCCGGGCUCAACCUGGGAACUGCAUUUGAGACUGGCAGGCUUGAGUCUUGUAGAGGGGGGUAGAAUUCCAGGUGUGGCGGUGAAAUGCGUAGAGGUCUGGAGGAACACCGGUGACGCAGGAGACCCCCAGAACAAAGAAUGACGCUCAGGUGAGAAAGCGUGGGGAGCAAGCA
rnacentral:rRNA from 1 species